rnacentral:rRNA from 1 species
CCGAAGGGUGAACCUGCGGAAAGAUCAUACCGAGUUUAGGGUCUCUCAGGCCGACCCUCCCAACCUUUUGUUUACUUAAACCUGUGUUCUUAGGCGGGCCCGUCUACGGACCCCGGGAGGNCGCNUGCAUGGGAGUCCUUUGGACCCGCGCCCGUGAUGCCCCCCAUCAAAAACUCUUGUUUAAUCAUGGUGUCUGUGUCUGAAUUGCCAAAAUCAAAUAAAUGCAAAACUUUCAACAACGGAUCUCUUGGUUAAGGCAUCGAUGAANAACGCAGCGAAAUGCGAUAAGUAAUGCGAAUUGCAGAAUUCCAGUGAGUCAUAGAAUCUUUGAACGCACAUUGCGCCCUUUGGCAUUCCGAAGGGCAUGCCUGUUCGAGCGUCAUUAUCACCCCUCAAGCCNCGUGCUUGGUGUUGGACGGNUUGGUCGAGGUCCGCCUCGACCCCUCCCAAAGACAAUGACGGCGGCCUGUGGCUCCCCCGGCACANUGAGCUUUUCACCGAGCACGUGUCGGAUCGCGGGCGUCCAGGUCCCGGUCGGCCUCCUUGUUCGCAAGGCCAUUUUUCUCAAGGUUGACCUCGGAUCAGGUAGGGAUA